UUCCGUAUGGCGCACUUCCUUUUUGGUGGACAUGGCUGCCUAUGUCUGCCGAUGUGAUUCCUUAUUUUGCAUUUCCUGUUUUGUUGAUUUUCCUCCGAUAACAGUGAUUCCGUAUUUUGCAUUUCCUUUUUAGCUACUUUGCCAGCUGAUGACAGUAUAAAUCUUACCUUUUGGUGUUUCUUUGUUUGUAUUUCGAGGACGCCGAGGAGUGCACUUCAUCGAGGAGGAGGAAGAGGGACUAGCGAUUGUGUGGAUAAACUUCAAUAUUGGAUCACAAGCAUUGUAAGUUCUGGUAUUCAACCUCUCUAUAGUCUUAGUGUGUUGGUAAGUAACUCG